rnacentral:rRNA from 1 species
CCUACGGGUGGCAGCAGUGAGGAAUAUUGGUCAAUGGGCGCGAGCCUGAACCAGCGAAGCAGCGUGAAGGAUGACUGCCCUACGGGUUGUAAACUUCUUUUAUAAAGGAAUAAAGUGAGGCACGUGUGCCUUUUUGUAUGUACUUUAUGAAUAAGGAUCGGCUAACUCCGCGCCAGCAGCCGCGGUAAUACGGAGGAUCCGAGCGUUAUCCGGAUUUAUUGGGUUUAAAGGGAGCGUAGAGGGGUUGUUAAGUCAGUUGUGAAAGUUUGGGGCUCAACCGUAAGAUUGCAAUUGAUACUGGCAGUCUAGAGUACAGUUGAGGUAGGCGGAAUUCGUAGUGUAGCGGUGGAAUGCUUAGAUAUCACGAAGAACACCGAUGGCGAAGGCAGCUUACUAAACUGCCACUGACAUUGAUGAUCGAAAGUGUGGGUAGCAAACAGGAUUAGAUACCCUGGUAGUC